rnacentral:tRNA from 1 species
GAAGGUGUAGCUCCGUGGUAGAGUAUGUGCUUCGAAUGCACAAGGUCCUGGGUUCAAUCUCCAGUACCUCUG